AUGCCUUAAUUAUGUAGGGUCUCAGUUAAUUCUGAUGGCAUAUGCCUUAAUUCCAUGGGAUCACAGUUUAUUCUCAAGGCAUGUGCCUUAAUUACGUAAGUUGUAAGUUAAGUCUGAAGGCAUUUGCCUUAAUUUAAUAGGAUCUCAGGUAAUUCUGAAGGUUUAUGCCUUAAUACCAUCGCAUCUAAGUUAAUUGUGAAGGCAUAUGCCUUCAUCCAUAGGAUCUAAUUUUAUUCUGAAGCUAUAUGGCUUUAAUUCCAUAGGAUCUAAGUUAAUUCUGAAGGUAUAUGCCUUAAUUGCAAAGGAUCUCAUUUAAUUCUGAAGGAAUAUGCCUUUAUUAUGUAGUGUCCAAGUUCAUUCUGAUGGCAUUUGCUUUAAUUAUAUAAGUUCUAUGUUAAUUCUGAGGGCAUAUGCCUUAAGUAUGUGGGGUCUAAGUUAAUUCUUAACGAAUAUGCCUUAAUGAUGUAGGAUCUAAGUUAAUUAUGAUGGCAUAUUACUUGAUAAUGUACGGUCUAAGUUAAUUCUGAAGGUAUAUACCUUCAUUCUAAAGGAUCUGAGUUAAUUCUGAAGGCAUAUGCCUAUUUUAUGUGGUAUCUAAGUCAAUUAUGAAGGCAUAUGCCUUAAUUGCAUUGGAUCUAAGUUAAUUCUGAGGGAAUAUGCCUUAAUUGUGUUGCAUUUAAGUUAAUUCUGAUGGCAUAUGCCUUUAAUUCCAUAAGAUCUGAGUUAAUUCUGAAGGCAUAUGCCUUUAAUUCUAUACUAUCUGAGUUAAUUCUGGAGACAUAUACCUUAAUUCAAUAGAAUCUACGUUAAUUCUGAAGGCAUAUGCCUUAAUUAUGGAGGGUCUAAAAUAACUCUGAAGGCAUAUGCCUUAAUUAUAUUGGUUCUAUGUUAAUUCUGAUGGUAUAUGCCUUAAUAAUGUGGAAUCUAAGUUAAUUUUGAAGGCAUAUGUCUAAAUUCCAUGGGAUCUAAGUUAAUUCUGAAGGUAUAUGCCUUAAUUAUGAAGAAUCUAAUCUAAUUCUGAAGGCAUAUGCCUUAAUUCCGUAGCAUCUAAGUUAAUUGUGAAGGCGUAUGCCUUAAUUCCAUAGGUCUAAAUUAAUUGUGAAGGCAUAUGCCUUUAAUUCCAUAGGAUCUGAGUUAAUUCUGAAGGUAUAGUCCUUAAUUAUGUAGAAUCUAAUUUAAUUCUGAAGGCAUAUGCCUUAAUUCCAUGGGAUCUAAGUUAAUUCUCAAGACAUAUGCCUUAAUUAUGUAGGGUCUAAUUUAAUUCUGAAGGCAUAUGCCUUAAUUCUUUGGGCCUAACUUAUUUCUGAUGGCAUAUGCCUUAGUUAUGUAGGGUCUAAGUUAACUCUGAAGGCAUAUGCCUUAAUUAUAUAGGUUCUAAGUUAAUUCUGAAGGCAUAUGCCUUUAAUUUAAUACGGUCUAAGUUAAUUCUGAAGGCAUAUGCUUUUAUUUGCAUCGGAUCUAAGUUAAUUCUGAAGGCAUAUGCCUUAGUUAAAUAUAAAUAAAUAUAUUAUUUGUUUACAUAUGCCUUAAUUAAAUGUAAAUAAUUAUGUUUAUUUUCAUAUGCCUUAAUGAAAUUUAAAUAAAUAUUUUUUACUGUUGUAUUUGCAUAAAAUAUAAGUAAACGUUUUUGUGUGACUUUUCCAAUAAACAAUGUUGUGAUCGGGCAGUGAGCUGGAAUGCUUUUCUGUGACUUACGUUCUCAUUUGAUCUCUUUAGUUUUCUGUGUGAUCAAUGAUGAUACAGGUGCUAUAAUUUGGAAAUACACAAGAGAGUUUGGCAAAGCAGGUUAUGACACCAAAAAGAAUAGAUAAAGGGCUCUCCCUCAUCCUGGGCUCACUGCAACACUGCACAGGAGGGAUCUCCAAAGGAGACUCUUCCCCGCUGGCAGCCAGCUCUUCAAUGGGGUCCAGGAGAGGCGCAGCCAGGCUCCGUCCCUCCCAGCAGCACAGCGCAUUGCCUUCACUGUGCUCCCAGGGCUGAUCAGCGCUCGCCUCAGGUGAUCGACCAGAGGUUCAGGCUGUGAUUCAGCAGCUCCCAUACAGCCUUCACAGUCAGAUACCUCGUGGAAUCAGCAUUUCCACUACAACGGUCUAGGCUCAUCGAUCCUUGAGCGCUGGCCAAGCAGGUGGCUUCUGCCAAAUGCUUUUCCCACUGCUUUAAUGUUCUUCCCUGCAUUGCCUUCAACAUCGUUUCAACAACCCACUGCACCGUUGGAUUUUACCAGCAGCUGUUGCGUGCAAGGGAAUAUGAGAUAAGCCCACUGGAUGCCAAGGUCUUUGGCCCAAAUAUUUGCAAGGGAACUUUCAAAAUGUGUCCCCCCGUCUGACUCAAUUCUUUCACUGUAGAGAAGACCUAAAAUAUUCAAUCCAGCAACUGUUUUGUGUGCACCUAUCUAUCUAUCUAUCUAUCUGCUCCAUUCCAUUUCAUCUUACCCAUAAAUCUUGUUAAGCACACACGCAGAAAGCAGGGUUGUUCAGCUGUGCCCUUCCCCAGGUCACUCUGCUCUCCUCAGACCCCCAGCUCUGUCCCAGAAGCAUCUUUCAUCAGCCCUUCCUAGAAAGAGCUGCCUGCUUUUGCAGCACAAACGGACUAGUUCAUGGUGAACUCCCGGCUUCCUCAUGCCUGGAACAACUCCAUGGGCCUGCUCAGCCAUCUGCACCAACCCUGGAUGUUGUUUGUCUCCACAAACAGCACCCCUACCACCGCAUCUUCUUUCCAGAGGAGGAAGUGUUUGGGAAGUGCUGUGGUUUUCCCCAUGUGGUGCUGAUGGGUCAGAGUGAAGACAUCAUGCAAGAGUAACACAGGCAUGGACUGAGACCACAUUACCUCCAAUUCCUCCCCCUGAAUGGCGACAAAGCUUUGCUCUCACAAAGCAGCUGGCUUCAGCCCCACGGGCUGCCUGCAAUCUCCAAUCUGCAGCAAACAUUCUGCUGCCAGAGGACACAGCAGAGCCAGCUCUACUCAUUGCAGCAGAUAGAAAAACAUCUCCAUGCUCUUUUGCACUGCUUUCAGAAAUGUUAGCUAGGCUAACUACUUUUUGUAGACAGGAAUUGGCUUAUCCAAUGGUGAGUCAUCACCUGUGACUGUUUCAA